GUUGUUUUGGAGAUGGUCAAAUAUACUAUGGUUAUCGCAUCCUCUGCCUGUACCCUGCUAUGGGUGAUGACUAGACCAAGGGCGAUGGUCAUUCCAUCUUCUCUUUUGCUUUUGUGGGAAUGACCAAAACUAUGGCACUGUAUCAAACUAAGUGUGUGUGUUAUUUUCAACUAUGAAGCUUCCGCUACUUGUGAACUUGGUUUGUAAUAACUUUAAGCACUCCGAUGUUUUUGAUGGAUAUUUUCGAACUGGAUGUAACUGUGGAUGGUGACCGCUGAACUUAUUACGAUCUUGGCUGUGUGUACGAUAUGUGGUUUGAAAUCCUUCGAGAUUUCACGGAAUACUGGGAUUAUAUGGGCUUAAGCUGGAUGGUUUGACUAUGCAAAUGGACGCUAUUAGGCUUAAUCUCUUAUAAUUUGGGCGGUUCUGUUACAUAAUUCUACUGUCGGACACUUGUCCAUUUUUACCUCUCGUCUCACUUUUUCUUUUCUUUCAAGGUUCCAGGCACAUGCCCCUUUUUAUUUCCUCGUAUCUUUUUUUUCUUUUUUUUAUUAGAGCACUCAUCUCUUGAGAUAAUAUCGCAAGUGGUAGUAACAAGAUAACUUGAGCAUUUAUUUCAUAGGGAAAAACAGAAAUAUUUUUUGGCUAUUCUCUCCCGGAUUAGGAGUAGAAUAUUUUUGGGUGGUUCUGGAGAUGGAAAUGGAUGGAUAUAUGUGGAUGGUACUUCUAGAGUAGAAGUAGCAUGUGUGAGUGAACGUGCAAGUGAAAUUUGAUUUAACCACAUAACAAGCUCCUAAGGGUCUACACAGCUUGACCACACUCAAUGCUCAUAAGCAGUAAAUAGUAAAUGUGUGGCUCAAAGUCUAACAAGCUUGUAUAUAUGGCUAUGGUAGGAAUUUGUUGACACCGUUUUUGGACACGUACCUAGGUUUGGUAGAGUGUAGAUCAGCAAGAUAGGGCAACAGUAACUGGUCUAUGUUGGGUAUUCUUAACACCACUACCAAAAGUAGACUUAGUUUUCUAAUUCUGAUAACGGUGCCAAAAUUGCCAAACCUAUCCCUCACACCACUUAAGCCAAGUUGUCAUCCCCAGCAUGACAUGAGAGACGCGGUAUUGAAAUAUGCAAUUGCUCUUCUAAAUAAAUAAUGAAUGGGAUCUGCAAGCGCACAGAUUAAUACCGAUGUAGCAUUUUAACCGGGAAGUAUUCCAGGUAUCGUUAUUUAUAUUUUUACCACUGGGAAGGGAUUAGCAAUCAUCAAUAUUGAUUACAGAAUAAAAUAUGAGAUUGAGUAUCUAUCAUGGCAUGUAUAAUUGAGAACAUUGUAUCUAAUUCUUUCAUACAGGGAUAAGUGUCACAUAAAGUAUAUAUAAAGUAAUGAAUAGUGACAAAGAUAAUUAAUCUGAUCAUAAUUAGCCACAUAAUAAAUAUGAUAAGCACCUCAAUUAGAUACUCUAGAAAGUCAUUAGCAUGUAUUAGAACGAACUACAAGAAUAUUUCCUAAGUUAUUCUCAACUAUAUAGUCUAGCAUUAUCAUAAUUAGUGCAAGCAUACUUAGCAAUCAUUGCGAGACAAGACUACGCCCAUGCAUAGUGAUAUUAGCAAGGUAAAUGAGAAACAUAACAAUCACUCCCCUGUAAUAAUAUUGCUCUGCCAGCCCAAUACACAAGAGGGGGACUAUAUAAGAAUCAAUGAAGCUGUCACUAUCACGAACUACCCCACGAUCUGGCAUAUUGGGUACAAUCGCAGAUAAAUACGGUAUAAGCACCACGCCUACACAAUAUCUAUCAUUUACCCAUGGAUCCGAUGGAUAAACGCUAUACGAUCCUAAGCAUGUAUAUAGAUCCAAUCUAACUAAGCCAAGUACAUAACUAUGAUAAACUAAGAACAAUAUAAUCUUGAAUAUAAACAAGUAGAGCAAAGUCAUAAGCAAUAUAUUGAAGUAGAACAAAGUCAUAUUCAUAAUAUUGAAGAACAAAGAUGAUUAGAAAGCAAUUAGAAGCACAAUUAGAGAAUUACCAAGAAUCCUCUUGACAGAUCCGGAAACCAAUCGAAGAUUGACUCCUAGUUCUAAUCCUAUGUAGCUAUGCUAAUCUAGAUGUCUAAUUGAUGUGGUGGCUCUAAUCUUGAUCACAAGCUUCUUCUCCCUUGAGGAACAAUGAAUUAGGGUUGAGAGGCUCUCUCCUCCACGGGCCAGGGGGUCUGGUUUUAUAGUCCCUUCAAGUGAAUAUGGGUCGUUGGAUCAAACCGACAUUGAUUGAACGGUUAUCCUUGAUCCUUUAGGUCGGUGGAGCGUCGUGUGCGAAAAGAGUCCCGAUUGGGCUCGGUAGGAGGGCGGGUGCCUAGGGCAACUAGGCGGGCGCCCAGUCCCUUGCCUCGUUCGGCCUCCGCUUCCUUCCCGUGGCUUCUGGAGUCUUCUAGAUGUAAGAUAAUUGCACGACACGUUAAUAUCUCUAUGUAAUCCUGACGUGUGGGCCUUUCUUCCAUAUUUCCUGAUAACCCCCUGCAGAAAUAGACAAACACCAAAACUCGUGGAAUUCUGUCACAUAAAACCCUAAGUCUAUAUGUUGAUUUCAUUUGGAUCCUUUUCUUUGUUUAUUUGAUAAUUAAAUUUGAUACUUAAGGACCGUCAACAAACUCCCCCAAGCUUACCUCUCGCUCGUCCCUGAGCAAAGAUAGAUUAGAAGUUGCUGCAAUACUUUAAAAAUUGACGGUACACAAGCUUUUAAAUAAAGAUCUCAUCUCUGAGUUAGAGUAAACUGUCAAGACUCAAAACUUACUUACUUUACCUUUCACCAUGGGACUUGUAACCGUCACUUCUUUCUUGAGUGGUUAAAAGAUAGAACAGUCUAGUUAAGUGCCAUGUCUCUUAUUCUUGAUCAGCUAUAGCUCUGGAGUUUUUGCAGAUUUUCAAAUAAAACUUAGAGAUUCCUUUUAUGAUUCUCUCAUAUCUCUCUUUUGUGGUAUUUCUGGAUCCUUACCAAGGCAGUGAUGGUAUAUGCCUUCUCUUAAUAUAUGUGGUAUUUGUGGUAUGAAGCAUAAUGACAUUGCUUUCUCUCUCACCCUACUCUAAUAAGGCUUUAAUAUCUGGAGCUCAUAGGUGGGAGAUAAAGUAUACAUACUUACAAGACAUUUAUUGUAUAGUCAAACCAUGGAUCCAAAGAAACAAAUCAAUAAGUCAAAUCAAGAUGUGCAUGUGUGGCGAAUGAAUGGUGUAUGGUGAUGAUGGUGGUAACAAUGGUGAAAGUCUAAUUCUACUUUUGCUCUUUUGAGAGGAUACAUACCUUUCUUGCUUUUUGAAACUUUAUGAGGAGAAUGAGAUGCUCUAUCUUUUUCUUUUCUCUCAGGUGGAUAUCUUGUACCCCUAAUUCUACCAUCGGACACAUGUCCAUUUUUACCUCUCAUCUCACUUUUUCUUUUCUUUCGAGGUUCCGGGCACUUGCCCCUUCAUAUUUCCUCGUAUCUCUUUUUUUUCUUUUUUUUCUAGGCACUCAUCUCUUGAGAUAAUAUAGCAAGUGGUAGUAACAAGAUAACUUGAGCAUUUAUUUCACAGGGAAAAAUCAGAAAUAUUUUUGGCUAUUCUCUCCCGGAUUAGGAGUAGAAUAUUUUUAGGUGAUUCUGGAGAUGGAAAUGAGUGGAUAUAUGUGGAUGGUACUUCCAGAGUAGAAGUAGCAUGUGUGGGUGAACGUGCAAGUGAAUCUUGAUUUAACCACAUGACAAGCUCCUAAGGGUCUACACAGCUUGACCACACUCAAUGCUCAUAAGCAGUAUAUAGUAAAUGUGUGGCUCAAAGUCUAGCAAGCAUGUAUAUAUGGCUGUGGUAGGAAUUUAAAACUUUCAUCAUACAGGAACUCAUCAUGCAAUAUUUUAAAGAUUUUCAAAGAUAAAAUUCUCCAGAAUUCUAGCAUCUCUAGGAACAGAUAAAUAGCAGCUCUACCUUCCCGUAUCGUAUCCGUUAACAACUUAGACUUUAGAUCAAGUUUUCAUCCCACAAGUUUAGGUCUAGAGCAAGAUUUAAAUUAUAACAGUUAUAUCUAAAUGUGAGAGAGAACUUAAAAUGUGCAAAUUAGGAAGAGCAACUGUUGACACUUGCUAACACCACUUGAAUACUAGGUUGUCAUCCCCAGCAUGGCACUAGAGUGUACUAUGGUAUUUAUCGGCACACAGAUAAUCCGCAAGCGCACGGAUACCGUUGAAGCUUUUACCCGGUUAAAGGUUUUAUCGUAUCCACAGGGAAACAGGAGAACUGAUCUAUGCUCUAACUUAACCAAGAUAAGUAAAUAAGUGUAAAUAGGAAAGAUGGUAGAAUCGAAUAAGAACAAUAUUAAAGGUAAGAUAACAGUGAGUGAUAAUAUGGGAAUAGAGAAUAGAGCAAUUAUAGUAUAUGGGCGAUGGUAGCAGAAUAGAGAGGAUAACUAUGGUUUCUCUACUUCAAAGGGGUAUGUCUAUGUCUGGGACGAACCACGUGAUAAGAAGUACACCACAAAGGAUGCUUAUCCUUAGGCCGAUAAACCAUACCCGUCCUGCUAACGAGAGGUGGACUACAGAGGACCAACGUAACUGUCACCUACGCGGCCUACCACACGAUCCAGCUAGACAGGGGAUAUCCACAAGUAAUCUAGAUCUAAGCACCUCGCUUACACCUAUACUACAACUCUCACCUAUAGCGUCCUAUAGAUUAAAGUACUCAAAAGAGUUGUGAACCAGAAUAUACAUAAUUAGAAAUUGCAUAAUGAAUUAGAAGUAGAUUACCAGAGUCAUCCCAUGAGCAAGCUUGAUUAGAGCUUGAUCAUGACGAAGUACAACCGGAGGAAGAACUGACAGGCCGGCCUCUCCUCUAAUCCUCCUUCGCUCUCCAUCUUGCUACUAUCUAGAUCUACUCUAGUUUAGAGAAGAGAGGAGAGCUCUCAUCUCUAAACCCUAGCUUUUGCUCUGUCUAUGAAUAAUGAAUAAUGAUCAAGGGGUGCCUCCUCCAGGGGCUAGGGGGUCUAGUUUUAUAGUCCCUUCAAGUGAACCUGGGCCGUCAGAUCAAACCGACAUAGAUUGAACGGUUAUCCUUGAUCCUUUAGGUCGGUGGAGAUCUCCCGAGAAACAGAGUCCUAAUUGGCCUCCAGAGGUGGGCGGGCGCCCUGCCUCUAGCCCUGUUCGGCCUCCGCUUCCUUCCCGUGGCUUCUGGAGUCUUCUAGAUGUAAGAUAAUUGCGCGACACCUUAAUAUCUCUAUGUAAUCCUGACGUGUAGGCCUUUCUUCCAUAUUUCCUGAUAACCCCUUGCAGAAAUAGACAAACACCAAAACUCGUGGAAUUCUGUCACAUAAAACCCUAAGUCUAGAUGUUGAUUUCAUUUGGAUCCUUUUAUUUGUUUAUUUGAUAAUUAAAUUUGAUACUUAAGGACCGUCAACAAACUCCCCCAAGCUUACCUCUUGCUCGUCCCUGAGCAAGGAUAGACUCAGCAAUGGAUCAGAAGUUGUUGCAAUAUCUUAAAAAUUUGUCGGUACACAUGCUUUUAAAAAAGAUCUCAUCUCUGAGUUAGAGUAAACUGUCAAGAACUAAAACUUACUUACUUUACCUUUCACCAUGGGACUUGUAACCGUCACUUCUGUCUUGAGUAGUUAAAAGAUAGAACAGUCUAGCCAAGUGCCAUGUCUCUUAUUCUUGAUCAGCUAUAGCUCUGAAGUUUUUGCAGAUUUUCAAAUAAAACUCAGAGAUUCCUUGUAUGACUCUCUAAAUCUCUCUUUUGUGGUAUUUCUGGAUCCUUACCAAGGCAGUGAUGGUAUAUGCCUUCUCUCAAGAUAUGUGGUAUUUGUGGUAUAAGACAUAGUGACAUUGCCUUCUCUCUCACCCUACUCUAAUAAGGCUUUAAUAUCUGGAGCUCAUAGGUGGGAGACAGCUAAUACAUACUUACAAGAUAUUUAUUGCAUAGUCAAACCAUGGAUCCAGAGAAACAAGUCAAUAAGUCAAAUCAAGAUGUGCAUGUGUGGUGAAUGAAUGGUGUAUGGUGAUGAUGGUGAUAACAAUGGUGAAAGUCUAAUUCUACUUUUGCUCUUUUGAGGGGUUACAUACCUUCCUUGCUUUUUGAAACUUUAUGAGGAUAAUGAGAUGCUCUAUCUUUCAUUUUUUUCUUUCCUCUCAGGUGGGUAUCCUGUACCCCUAAUUCUACUGUCGGACACUUGUCCAUUUUUACCUCUCGUCUCACUCUUUUUCUUUUCUUUCGAGGUUCCGGGCACUUGCCCCUUUUUAUUUCCUUGUAUAUAUUUUUUUCUCCUCUUUUUUUUUAGAGCACUCAUCUCAUGAGAUAAUAUAGCAAGUGGUAGUAACAAGAUAACUCGAGCAUUUAUUUCACACGAAAAAACAGGAAUGGGAUAAUGUUUUUGGCUAUUCUCUCCCGGAUAGGAGUAGAAUAAUUUUAGGUGAAUCUGGAGAUGGAAAUGGGUGGAUAUAUGUGGAUGGUACUUCCGAAGUAGAAGUAGCAUAUAUGAGUGAAUGUGCAAGUGAAAUCUUGAUUUAACCACAUGACAAGCUCCUAAGGGUCUACACAGCUUGACCACACUCAAUGCUCAUAAGCAGUAAAUAAUAAAUGUGUGGCUCAAAGUCUAGCAAGCAUGUAUACAUGGCUGUGGUAGGAAUUUAAACUUUCAUCAUACAGGAACUCAUCAUGCAAUAUUUUAAAGAUUUUUCAAAGAUAAAAUUCUCCAGAAUUCUAGCAUCUCUAGGAACAGAUAACCAGCAGCUCAACCUUCCCAUAUCAUAUCCGUUAACAACUUAGAUUUCAGAUCAAGUUUUUAUCCCACAAGUUUAGAUCUAGAGCAAGCUUUAAAUUAUAACAGUUAUGUCUAAACUUGAGAGAGAACUUCAAAUUUGCAAAUUAGGCAGAGCAACUAUUCAUCAUAUCCAUGCUAGAGUUUUAUUAUUAAGAUUCAGAUUAGCAUAGCCACUUUAUUUAUUUAUUAAACACACUAAGCAAAAGAUAUAUAUAUAAGCACAAAAUCUUUAUUUGGUUUUUCAUAGUUUAUGUAUUUUAAUAUUCUAAUAUAAUAUAAGUAUAAAGAUAGGUAGAAAUACUUAGCGAGAUAAAUGGGGGUGCUCUCCCCCAA
rnacentral:lncRNA from 1 species